AAAAAGUGCUCAAACCUUUCCAGGCUGCACAGACUCAUCCUGGAGUUUUCCUGAUUCAGAAUUUUUACCUGGCUACAUCUUCAGAAAUUGUUGAAAUUGGGACAGAAAUACUUGUGUUUUAUGAAGCACCAGGGUGGCUUGAUUUUGAGUCCUGGAAAAUGCCCCUGAGGGCCUAAAAGUUACAGUGUUAAAAGGGGUGUCCUUGAUUUUGAUAGAACUUGGAGAUUUUCGAUUGUUUCGUGAUUUUCGAGCUGAUGGACUCGAUGGAUUUCAAUUUUGGAAUUGAGGAUGUUGGGAUAGCAGUUUUACAGGAAUCGUGGAACAGGGUGGCAAUUCAAGCAGUGGACCUUGCUAGUGAAACAAGAGAUGUGGUACUUGGAAAGAGUAGUUUUCAGGAAUUUUCCAGUAGUGUUAAUGAGUUGAAUACCCUCUUUCAUGCCUUAGAUCCCAGGAAAAUUGAAGCUGCAAUGGGUUUAAAAUCUACUAAAGCUGUACUGGAGACCUUGAAUGGUCAGCUGAGGAAAGCCUGUAAGAUUAUUAAAGAUUACAAAUCUGGAAGCCGGUUGCGUCUCUUGCUUCACUCAAACUCUGUGCUGUCAGAAAUGCAGGAUUUGUCCAGGGAGAUUGCCACGACCAUGGAGUCGUUUCAGCUUGUCAAUCUUAAUAUGACGCUGAACUUAAAGGCGAUGAUGAAUCAGAUUGUUGACAGUCUAAGGUCAUUGGAGUUCCAUUCAGCGGCUGCAACAGAAAGAAUUGCUAUGGAGAUAGAGAAUUCGAUAUCACAGAGCAACAGAAAUAGAGAGAAUGCUGUGAAUCUCCUGGAGAAGAUUGCAGAAGCUGUUGGUGCUAGCGCAAAUACAUUGCUAGUACAAAAUGAGUUGGCGAUUUUGAAGCAGGAAAAAGAAGAGAUGGAAGCUCAAAAGAAGCAAGCAGAAGCACUUCAGUUGAAUCAAUUGAUACAGUUAUUGUAUAAUACAGAACUUGUUACAAGGCCAGAAAAUGAGGAAGUUCCUAUAUAUCACCAGCAAUUCCCAAUUGAAUCGAUAAUAUGCCCUUUGUGCAAUGAGGUGAUGAAAGACGCCGUUGCAAUUGUCUGCGGUCACAGCUUUGAGAGGCAGGCAAUUCAGGAACACUUCAAGAGAGGCGAAAAGAAGUGCCCCACUUGCAGAGAGGAGCUUCCAUCUCUUGAUCUUACGCCAAAUUUUAAUCUUCGAAGCUCUAUCGAAGAAUGGAAGCAAAGGGAGAUGGACUUGAAAUUCCAAGCUGCAGUUGUUGAAAUCAAUUCCAAUGAUCAUUCCCGGCAAAACAAGGCCUUGGAGGAUAUGCAAAGUCUUAUGGAAAUGCCUCGGUAUGCAGCAAAAACUGAUGGAGAAUUCAUUCCAAAGCUGGUGGAAUUCUUAAAGGAUAACAGGCUUAACGCCAAGGCCACGCUGAAAUGCCUCUACUACCUAGCUAGAUUCAGUGAUGAUCAUAAGGAAGCCAUUGUUCAAGCAGGGGCGAUUCGCCACACUGUGAAGCAGAUCUAUAAAGGCGAAACAGAAGCUGAAGCUCUUGCAGUCUUGCUGGAGCUAUCCAAGAGAGAAUCCCUUGGAGAGAAAAUAGGGAAAACAAAAGACUGCAUUCCUAUUUUGGUUUCUUUGCUCCAUAAUGACGAUCCAAAUGUCUCAGAGAAUGCUCACAGUGUAUUGCAGAAUCUUUCCUCGAACACGCACUUCGCUGUCAAGAUGGCUGAAGCUGGAUACUAUCAACCAUUUGUUGCUUGCUUCAACCAAGGAUCCCCAGAGACCAGAUCAUUGAUGGCGGCAGCCUUGAUGAAUAUGCAACUCAAGGAAAAUAGCAUUUCAGUCUUGAAAGAGAGGCCAUUUAUACACAACAUAAUCCAGCUGCUCUCUUCAAACUCGCCUGCUAGCAAAUCGGCUUGCCUCAAAUGCAUCAACAAGUUCAUAGCCUAUCCGAGAAUGUUAAAGAGGCUUCUAUCAGAUCCUGUGACCAUUCCACUUCUGCUUGGCCUCAUCUCAUUUGUCAGGUCUGAUCCGCAAUUGAAGCAGCAAGCUGCUGAGAUUCUUGCUUUGAUGGUUGAAGCCUGUCAGCAUCCUCAAUUCCAGUUGUUUCAAGGCUUGCAGGAACUCCAAUCCGAGCAUAACAUCAGUCUCUUUCUGCAGCUCGUAGCUAGUUCCGAACCUCAAGUGAAGAUUCAGUUUCUGCACUUACUGGUGGAGCUCAGUUAUAAAUCAGAGAAAGUUCGGGACCUAAUCCAAUCAAAUGACGACACAAUCACUAACCUGUUCUCUUCCCUAGAUGGUGACCAACCAAUAGUUAGAAGAUGGGCAUUGAAACUCUUAUAUCGCAUUUCUGAAGGCCAUCCUAAUGGGGUUCAACUCCCACCUUCCCCCGGCAAAGAAACUGCCAUCAAUAGUCUAGCAACUAUUCUCACAAGCUCUCUAGACAUCGAAGAAAGGUCCACUGCUUCUGGAAUCAUCAGCAGGCUUCCGAAAGACGAUGAUGUUGUUGAUGAAGUACUUCGUAAAUCAGAAGUAUUGAAAGCCAUUCAUGAGGUGAUUUGCAGCAUGGAUGGGGAACAUUUCGGGAUCAGGAUACCUGCAAGCCAAGAUGAAUGUCUACUUGAGAAUGCGCUCGCGGCUCUUUUACACUUCACAGAACCCUCCAAGCCUGAACUUCAGAGGCAAGUGGGAAAGCUUCAAUUGUAUCCAUCACUAAUUAGAGUCCUCUCCUCAGGAAGCUCGAUGGCCAAGCAGCGAGCAGCGACUGCACUUGCACAAUUAUCCCAAUCCACCAGCCUGUCAGUCUCCAAUGCAACCAGAAUUGCAACUGAAACUAAUACCUCAACGCCAAUGCUUUUUCUGAUGAAACUCUUGCCGGAUAUGUCUUUGUGCUGCUCUGACUCAUCAGAACACCCGAGUUUAUGUUCUGUUCAUGGUGCUGCUUGUUCACCAAGAGAAACAUUCUGCCUUGUCAAGGCGGAUGCAGUGAAGCCAUUGUUGAAAAGCUUGAGCGAUAUAGAGUCUGGUGUCGCGGAGGCUGCUCUUAUGGCACUGGAAACAUUGCUAAUAGACCACAGCACCUUGUCUCCUGCCACGGCUGUUAUUGUCGACAGCCAAGGUGUGACAGCCAUUCUACAAGUCCUGGAAAAAGGAUCCUUAUCUGCAAAAACGAAAGCCCUUGAUCUCUUCCAGAAGAUCCUGAAGCAUACAAAGCUUACUGAUCCCUUGUUUAAGAAAUCCGAAAGGAUCCUCAUCCAGCUUCUCGACGAUGAUUCACUCAAAAAGAAAGUUGGUCUAGUUCUUAGGCAAAUGAACAUCAUCCCAGAUCAAUCUUCCUAUUUCUGAAUUGGCCAGUAGAAACACAUACUUCACUCAUUAUUAGACAAUCACUUGGCCACAAUAUUCAUGUAGGACUAAUCGUUUUCAUCUGACAAUGAUACGUUCUUCCCGCUUACAAUUCAGAAGCUGCAAAUCAAGGGAAGCAGAUAUCAAAGUUCGGUAACCUAGUGGUAUGUGUAAAUAUUUCCGGGUUGGGGGGGUUUUGAAAAUGUAAAAUAGUGUUAAUUUACAAAUUUGGGAAGUUCAGCCUUGUUCUGAAGCUGCCGCUGCUAAUGGAAUCAGAAGGGCAGAUGAAGAAAUCAUCAAAUUCUUUAAAUCCAUGGCCGACUUCAAACCUAUUUAACAGAAGUAGUGGCUGGGAUAUUGGAGAUCAAUGCUGAAUCGUUUGGGCGGAAACCACCCAUUCGCAACAUCGACUACUCCCAAAAUGAAACAGUUUGCACAAAGUGCGGGCUCUGCUCAGGCAAAUCAGUCUUACAACAAGUUUGCGAUGACAGGAGAAUUUGCACCAGUUUAUAUGGUUCUGGGAAUGUUGGUGGUGGCACUGACAAUAGGGACACACACAGCAAAACAGCAAUUGGCACAUUGCCCUAACGUUAGCGUAAGCAAGAAGAAAAGGAGAUCCAUAUCAGAGGUUGAGGAGCCAGAUCAUGCUGUCAGUUCGGCUGAUAGGUUUGUGAAUAAAUCCUUCCUAAGGAAGGUAGCUCACAUCCAGGACAACAAACAGAAUCUCCCCAGUCCUACUCGCCCCAACCCUUUUACCAGCCCUCGAAAUGUAGAGACACUGAAGACUGCUGGAGCGAAUCCAAGCCGCUCCUGAAGAAAAAUGAUCUUAACUUGUGUCAACUCUGAAACUUGUGGUUUCUUGAGUAGUAGUAGCAAUCCAGGAUGGUGUCAAAUUGUACAUAGAACAGCAUCGAUUAGUUCUCUUUCUGCUGUGAUUAUAGAUUUUAUUAUGGUAUUAGUUACUAAAUGAGAGCCUU